AUUGAACGCUGGCGGCAUGCCUUACACAUGCAAGUCGAACGGUAACGCGGGGCGACCUGGCGAUGAGUGGCGAACGGGUGAGUAAUGCAUCGGAACGUGCCCAGUUGUGGGGGAUAACUGCUCGAAAGAGCAGCUAAUACCGCAUACGACCUGAGGGUGAAAGCGGGGGAUCGCAAGACCUCGCGCAAUUGGAGCGGCCGAUGUCGGAUUAGCUAGUUGGUGGGGUACAGGCCCACCAAGGCAACGAUCCGUAGCUGGUCUGAGAGGACGACCAGCCACACAGGAACUGAGACACGGCCCAGACGCCUACGGGAGGCAGCAGUGGGGAAGUUUGGACAAUGGGCGCAAGCCUGGUCCAGCCAUGCCGCGGGCGGGAAGAAGGCCUUCGGGUCGUAAACCGCUUUUGUCAGGGAAGAAAUCUUCUGGGUUAAUACCCUGGGAGGAUGACGGUACCUGAAGAAUAAGCACCGGCUAACUACGUGCCAGCAGCCGCGGUAACAC
rnacentral:rRNA from 1 species